UGGGGAAUAUUGCACAAUGGGCGCAAGCCUGAUGCAGCCAUGCCGCGUGUAUGAAGAAGGCCUUCGGGUUGUAAAGUACUUUCAGUCGGGAGGAAGGUGGUAAGGUUAAUAACCUUAUCAAUUGACGUUACCGACAGAAGAAGCAGCGGCUAACUCCGUGCCAGCAGCCGCGGUAAUACGGAGGGUGCAAGCGUUAAUCGGAAUUACUGGGCGUAAAGCGCACGCAGGCGGUUGAUUGAGUCAGAUGUGAAAUCCCCGGGCUUAACCCGGGAAUUGCAUCUGAUACUGGUCAGCUAGAGUCUUGUAGAGGGGGGUAGAAUUCCAUGUGUAGCGGUGAAAUGCGUAGAGAUGUGGAGGAAUACCGGUGGCGAAGGCGGCCCCCUGGACAAAGACUGACGCUCAGGUGCGAAAGCGUGGGGAGCAAACAGG
rnacentral:rRNA from 1 species